rnacentral:rRNA from 1 species
AAUGAACGCUGGCGGCAGGCCUAACACAUGCAAGUCGAACGGAUUCUUCGGGAUUAGUGGCGGACGGGUGAGUAACGCGUGGGAACAUACCCUUUGGUACGGAAUAGCCUCGGGAAACUGGGAGUAAUACCGUAUGUGGUCGAGAGACGAAAGAUUUAUCGCCAAAGGAUUGGCCCGCGUUGGAUUAGGUAGUUGGUGGGGUAAUGGCCUACCAAGCCGACGAUCCAUAGCUGGUUGGAGAGGAUGAUCAGCCACACUGGGACUGAGACACGGCCCAGACUCCUACGGGAGGCAGCAGUGGGGAAUCUUAGACAAUGGGGGAAACCCUGAUCUAGCCAUGCCGCGUGAUCAAUGAAGGCCUUAGGGUUGUAAAGAUCUUUCAGGUGGGAAGAUAAUGACUGUACCCCCAGAAGAAGCCCCGGCUAACUCCGUGCCAGCAGCCGCCGUAAGAC